rnacentral:miRNA from 1 species
AAUUGCACGCGUCCCGGCCUAC